GGUAGUGUGGCCGAGCAGAAGGCGGUGAGUUGUAGCCUCUCAUACUGGGAACUCACCCACGCUAUCAAGCC
rnacentral:tRNA from 1 species